rnacentral:rRNA from 1 species
AUGAUGAACGCUAGCUACAGGCUUAACACAUGCAAGUCGAGGGGCAGCAUUUUAGUUUGCUUGCAAACUAAAGAUGGCGACCGGCGCACGGGUGAGUAACACGUAUCCAACCUGCCGAUAACUCGGGGAUAGCCUUUCGAAAGAAAGAUUAAUAUCCGAUAGUAUAUUAAAACCGCAUGGUUUUACUAUUAAAGAAUUUCGGUUAUCGAUGGGGAUGCGUUCCAUUAGUUUGUUGGCGGGGUAACGGCCCACCAAGACUACGAUGGAUAGGGGUUCUGAGAGGAAGGUCCCCCACAUUGGAACUGAGACACGGUCCAAACUCCUACGGGAGGCAGCAGUGAGGAAUAUUGGUCAAUGGACGAGAGUCUGAACCAGCCAAGUAGCGUGAAGGAUGACUGCCCUAUGGGUUGUAAACUUCUUUUAUAUGGGAAUAAAGUAUUCCACGUGUGGGAUUUUGUAUGUACCAUAUGAAUAAGGAUCGGCUAACUCCGUGCCAGCAGCCGCGGUAAUACGGAGGAUCCGAGCGUUAUCCGGAUUUAUUGGGUUUAAAGGGAGCGUAGAUGGAUUGUUAAGUCAGUUGUGAAAGUUUGCGGCUCAACCGUAAAAUUGCAGUUGAAACUGGCAGUCUUGAGUACAGUAGAGGUGGGCGGAAUUCGUGGUGUAGCGGUGAAAUGCUUAGAUAUCACGAAGAACUCCGAUUGCGAAGGCAGCUCACUAGACUGCAACUGACACUGAUGCUCGAAAGUGUGGGUAUCAAACAGGAUUAGAUACCCUGGUAGUCCACACAGUAAACGAUGAAUACUCGCUGUUUGCGAUAUACAGUAAGCGGCCAAGCGAAAGCAUUAAGUAUUCCACCUGGGGAGUACGCCGGCAACGGUGAAACUCAAAGGAAUUGACGGGGGCCCGCACAAGCGGAGGAACAUGUGGUUUAAUUCGAUGAUACGCGAGGAACCUUACCCGGGCUUAAAUUGCAUUUGAAUAAUCUGGAAACAGGUUAGCCGCAAGGCAAAUGUGAAGGUGCUGCAUGGUUGUCGUCAGCUCGUGCCGUGAGGUGUCGGCUUAAGUGCCAUAACGAGCGCAACCCUUAUCUUUAGUUACUAACAGGUCAUGCUGAGGACUCUAGAGAGACUGCCGUCGUAAGAUGUGAGGAAGGUGGGGAUGACGUCAAAUCAGCACGGCCCUUACGUCCGGGGCUACACACGUGUUACAAUGGGGGGUACAGAAGGCAGCUACCUGGCGACAGGAUGCUAAUCCCAAAAACCUCUCUCAGUUCGGAUCGAAGUCUGCAACCCGACUUCGUGAAGCUGGAUUCGCUAGUAAUCGCGCAUCAGCCAUGGCGCGGUGAAUACGUUCCCGGGCCUUGUACACACCGCCCGUCAAGCCAUGAAAGCCGGGGGUACCUGAAGUACGUAACCGCAAGGAGCGUCCUAGGGUAAAACUGGUAAU